AAAAGAACAACAAAUAGAAAUGAGUACAAAGAAUCCAUACCUAGCUCUCUCUUUGGCCUUUUCCUUUUUUUUCUUCGCCAUUGAUGCUUCUGUUAUCUCAUUUCUUUCCUUCUCCUUUUGUUCCUUUGAUU
rnacentral:ribozyme from 16 species